rnacentral:rRNA from 1 species
GAUGAACGCUGGCGGCGUGCCUAAUACAUGCCAGUCGAGCGAACGGACGAGAAGCUUGCUUCUCUGAUGUUAGCGGCGGACGGGUGAGUAACACGUGGAUAACCUACCUAUAAGACUGGGAUAACUUCGGGAAACCGUAGCUAAUACCGGAUAAUAUUUUGAACCGCAUGGUUCAAAAGUGAAAGACGGUCUUGCUGUCACUUAUAGAUGGAUCCGCGCUGCAUUAGCUAGUUGGUAAGGUAACGGCUUACCAAGGCAACGAUGCAUAGCCGACCUGAGAGGGGGAGCGGCCACACUGGAACUGAGACACGGUCCAGACUCCUACGGGAGGCAGCAGUAGGGAAUCUUCCGCAAUGGGCGAAAGCCUGACGGAGCAACGCCGCGUGAGUGAUGAAGGUCUUCGGAUCGUAAAACUCUGUUAUUAGGGAGGAACAUAUGUGUAAGUAACUGUGCACAUCUUGACGGUACCUAAUCAGAAAGCCACGGCUAACUACGUG